GAAAAGACUAACAGGAUUCCCCUAGUAACUGCGAGUGAAGCGGGAAAAGCUCAAAUUUAAAAUCUGGCGGUUCUUGUAGCCGUCCGAGUUGUAAUUUAGAGAAGUGUUAUCCGCGCUGGACCGUGUACAAGUCUCCUGGAAUGGAGCGUCAUAGAGGGUGAGAAUCCCGUCUUUGACACGGACUGCCAGGGCAUUGUGAUGCGCUCUCAAAGAGUCGAGUUGUUUGGGAAUGCAGCUCAAAAUGGGUGGUAAAUUCCAUCUAAAGCUAAAUAUUGAGGAGAGACCGAUAGCGAACAAGUACCGUGAGGGAAAGAUGAAAAGAACUUUGGAAAGAGAGUUAAACAGUACGUGAAAUUGCUGAAAGGGAAACGCUUGAAGUCAGUCGCGUCGUUCAGGGCUCAGCCUUGCUUUGCUUGGUGUACUUCCUGUUCGACGGGUCAGCAUCAAUUUUGGUCGGUGGAUAAAGGCUUAGAGAAUGUGGCAUCUUCGGGUGUGUUAUAGCUCUGGGUCGCAUACAUCGGCUGGGAUUGAGGAACUCAGCACGCCGCAAGGCCGGGGACUUGUCCCACGUACGUGCUUAGGAUGCUGGCAUAAUGGCUUUAAUCGACCCGUCUCGAAACACGGACCAAGGAGUCUAACAUGCCUGCGAGUGUUUGGGUGGAAAACCCGAGCGCGUAAUGAAAGUGAAAGUUGAGAUCCCUGUCGUG
rnacentral:rRNA from 1 species